CGAACAGUUCGAAGCAAGCGUUAUUCUCGUCGAGAUUGAUAUCAAUGCGAGGGAAGAACCGAACAGGAGUCAUGACUGAUCGGUCGCGCAUGCGCAGUUCACAGAAUGUCGUAGUACGAAUUUUAUCCACGACGAAAGGGCAAGUAACGUUCCUUGUAAUUGCAGUGAGAAGAAUUUUAUGAGAUUCUACGAACAGGAUUCGCAACAAGGAAAAAUUGACGUUGUUUAUCUCGCCAGUCAUGACAGCGUUUGGAAACGUCAUUUACGCGCCAAAACGUGUCACCUAUCCAACUGUUGAACGCGUGGAGGUCAAUGCGUGCAAUAGAACCCUUUUACGUGAGUCAUGAUGAUUUUCGUCGACAAUUUAUCAAGGUAAGUGGGUUUUUUUAUAACCUUAAUCAUCUGGAAACUUAUGCUGUUUUGAUAAGGGUAUGAUUGAUGAAACAAUAUGAUAUACAAUGCAAUGUCAUUUCAUGUGAUGCACAGUUGUAAGUAUAAUUGAAAUUUUUAAUGCAAAUGCUACCAUAAGGGCCUCAUCGUCUCUUGAUUUUUGACCAAUAAAUAAAACUAUUCGAUUCAAAUCUCUAAACUUCUAAUAUUAGAAGUGAUUUGUAGAUUUUCAAACUUAAGGGUUUAGAAAUUUGAAGAUCAGCUGCCUUUAUUAUUAAUCAGUCACAUGUGUCAUAAGUUAUAGCAACUUUGUCUUAAAUAUAAAUGCUUCACGCUUUUAAUGUUAUUCUACAUUCUACUUGAAUAUAUAAUACUUGUGUAAGAAAUAUUUGGAACAAGGUAAGUACCCUUAAUGUCUAAAGAAGCACUGACUUUAAAGAAUAUAAUUUAACAAGAUUUUCUCUGGGGGAUAAUAGUGCGCAUACCCUCCAUACAGUAAGUAAUUAACAGAAAUGGAUGAUAUGCAUGAUAUGCAUGACCUAGUUCAUAAGCCACAGUCUCAUUUGAGUUCAUUCACCUUGCAUAUAUUUAUGUGGAUGUUUUAAAUUUUAACCAUUAACAUACAAAUCAUUAACUGCUAAUUAUUGCUUGCACAGAAUAAUUGAACUAAUUUCAUAUAAAUUAUUUGUCCAAAUAACCAAACGUAUUAUUUAUUAAUAUGUGAAUAUGAAAUUGAUUGAAUUCCAGAAACACAGUACAUGUAUAAGUUUGUAUCAAAUAAAUGAAUUAAAUCCGUUAUUGCAAAUGUAUUAAUUACCCACACAAUUUUCAGGAAGCAGUUCAUUAGUGAAAUACACAAAUUGUAUGUUAACAAGCUCACUGAAGUUUUGUGCAGUUGAAGAUUUUUGGUCAAACAACUUGAAGCAACGAAUAAACCAGGGGAAGGAGACUCGAGAGGGUGUGGCCAAACGGCCGACAGAAGCCGAAGUGUACCGAGGAUGAACUACAGGGAAGCUGAAGC
rnacentral:lncRNA from 1 species